AGUGAACGCUGGCGGUAGGCCUAACACAUGCAAGUCGAACGGCAGCACAGUAAGAGCUUGCUCUUACGGGUGGCGAGUGGCGGACGGGUGAGGAAUACAUCGGAAUCUACUUUUUCGUGGGGGAUAACGUAGGGAAACUUACGCUAAUACCGCAUACGACCUACGGGUGAAAGCAGGGGAUCUUCGGACCUUGCGCGAUUGAAUGGGCCGAUGUCGGAUUAGCUAGUUGGCGGGGUAAAGGCCCACCAAGGCGACGAUCCGUAGCUGGUCUGAGAGGAUGGUCAGCCACACUAGAACGGAGGCACGGCCCAGCCGCCUACGGGAGGAAGCAGUGGGGAAUAUUGGACAAUGGGGGCAAGACUGAUCCAGCCAUACCGCGUGGGUGAAGAAGGCCUUCGGGUUGUAAAGACCUUUUGUUGGGAAAGAAAAGCAGCAGGUUAAUACCCCGCUGUUCUGACGGUACCCAAAGAAGAAGCACCGGCUAACUUCGUG
rnacentral:rRNA from 1 species